AGUGAACGCUGGCGGUAGGCCUAACACAUGCAAGUCGAACGGCAGCACAGUAAGAGCUUGCUCUUACGGUUGGCGAGUGGCGGACGGGUGAGGAAUACAUCGGAAUCUACUUUUUCGUGGGGGAUAACGUAGGGAAACUUACGCUAAUACCGCAUACGACCUACGGGUGAAAGCAGGGGAUCUUCGGACCUUGCGUGAUUCAAUGAGCCGGUGUCGGAUUAGCUAGUUGGCGAGGUAAAGGCCCACCAAGGCGACGAUGCGUAGCCGAUCUGAGAGGAUGGGCGGCCACACGGGAACUGAGAAGCGGUCCAGACUCCUACGGGAGGCAGCAGGAGGGAAGGUGCCGCAAUGGGCGAAAGCCUGACGGAGCAAUGCCGCGGGAGGGAUGAAGGGCUUGGGAUCGUAAAACUCUGUUAUUAGGGAAGAACAAAUGUGUAAGGAAAUGUUCACAGCUGGACGGUAGCUAAUCAGAAAGAGACGGCUAACUACGUG
rnacentral:rRNA from 1 species